UCACGAUAAUAAAUGACUAAUGUAAAAUGUAAAAUUAUAAAGAAAAAAUGCAAAAGAUACGAUCGCGACGAGGUAUAACGCGCGACUACCGCACGACUCGAGAGUGGUCGAGCUCGUGAACGUUCGGUUCGAGCUCGGUCGUAGUCGAAUAGUAACGAAAGCUCGCGACUAUAAUGUCACUUGUUAUUGGAGGAGCUCACUAUUGGAUGGAUAGUUGGACAACUUUGAUCUUACACGUAUCAGGGAUUCUUUGUAAUAACAUUUUAUCUUGAAUUCCAUCUUGAUUUCGUUCUAUGCGAAUUAUAUCGUAAUACCGAUAAGGUAUAUCUUAUCGAAUUUAUUCUACGUUUACAAGAGGAAUAAAUGAAGCAUAAUUCAGGCAUUGUGAGAGACCAUAAUGGGGAUGGCUUUCAAGAGUACCGUCUGCAAUGAGACCGCCGAUUUGAAAUGAUUAUAAAAUGAUCUCGAUGUGGAACGAUAUAGGAAGUUCAUUGUAUCCAAAGCUUUCAUAACAAUUUAUAAAUCUGUCCAGCCGAUCGAAUUAAAACCGUAACCUCCCACGACAUGCUAAUUCGUACUCUAUUUCAUCUAAUUAGUUUUUUUUUUUCUAAUACUAUCGUAACCGAUGAAUUUAAUUAUUUAAUUUCUUAACGAGUAGCUUAUAGAAAUAACGAUCGUUACACCUUUCGACUUUUUUUCCUGAAUAUUAUUACAAUUAUUUCUAUUAAAAGUUUUUCGAUAUUUUUGUAUUCAUUUAUAGUCAGUAAACGAUAAGUUUAUUUUAAUCUUCUCGAAAGACUAUCGCGAACACUUUCGAAGAAAUUUUUUAAACUUUUUUAUUGGUAUAUUUAUAUCACGUCUACUAUUGUUUGCAAUCGAAUUAUAUGUAUUGUAUUACAUUAAUGGAACGAUCCGUGAUGUGACCCAUUUGCAUGGGCUUGGCUCAACUACUCAAGACUGACCGCGUUAAACUGCGUUAUCAAGUGUAACAUCCAUUAGCAUCCGUGCAACGAAUCUUAAAG